rnacentral:rRNA from 1 species
AAGGAUCAUUACCGAGUGAGGGCCCUCUGGGUCCAACCUCCCACCCGUGUCUAUCGUACCUUGUUGCUUCGGCGGGCCCGCCGUUUCGACGGCCGCCGGGGAGGCCUUGCGCCCCCGGGCCCGCGCCCGCCGAAGACCCCAACAUGAACGCUGUUCUGAAAGUAUGCAGUCUGAGUUGAUUAUCGUAAUCAGUUAAAACUUUCAACAACGGAUCUCUUGGUUCCGGCAUCGAUGAAGAACGCAGCGAAAUGCGAUAAGUAAUGUGAAUUGCAGAAUUCAGUGAAUCAUCGAGUCUUUGAACGCACAUUGCGCCCCCUGGUAUUCCGGGGGGCAUGCCUGUCCGAGCGUCAUUGCUGCCCUCAAGCACGGCUUGUGUGUUGGGCCCCCGUCCCCCUCUCCCGGGGGACGGGCCCGAAAGGCAGCGGCGGCACCGCGUCCGGUCCUCGAGCGUAUGGGGCUUUGUCACCUGCUCUGUAGGCCCGGCCGGCGCCAGCCGACACCCAACUUUAUUUUUCUAAGGUUGACCUCGGAUCAGGUAGGGAUACCCGCUGAACUUAAG